UUCUUUUGGCGCUUGCACCUGAGCAUAGGAGGCUGCGUUAUCCACUUGAUAAGACGAAAAACGACAUGGAGUGAAUUAAACAAGUUCUGUAUUCAUUAUUGCUUAUACUGACUAUAUCCUGUUGUAAUAUAGAGAGUAAAAGAGAGCUGUGCCUGAAUCCACUGUUGUCACGGAGCUAAAGGCAGUGAAUUCUGCUAAAAUGGUCAGGUUUUGGUAAAGAGUUGGAAACAUUGUGCGGAGAUCCUUUCCAUGGAAUGCUACAGAUCCCCACGUUCCAGGCGCUCUUCCAGAGAUCCAUAGAUUCCCAGUCCGGGUGGCUGGGUGGCGAGCCAACCGUGUUUGUGACUCUGACUUUAGACGGAUUGCCAGGAUCAUCUUCUUCAUCUUCAUGGUGGUAGGACAAACACUAACACGAACUAAAAAGGGCCCAACGUUGGUGACUGACCUCUUGUCAACAAAGGCAAGUGAAACUGAGGACGAACUAAGCUCAAGGGAAUUUAAAAGGGGAUUUAUUUAGGUGCGCAGUUUAUUAUUCUAGUUUGUUAUUUUUCAUAACUGUUUUUUGUAUAUGUAUGUACCAGCCCAUGUGUGUGUUAUACAUUUUAUGCAAAUUGUCA